GCGCGGUGGGCCGAAGGCCUCACUGGAACACUCCAGCUACCCUGUCCCCACAUAUCUGCCCAACUUCCCUAGUGCCUCGGGCAAUGCCACAGGUGGGCGCACCCUGGCCCUACAAUCAUCCCGGACAGGUGCAGAGGACCCUGAAAAGGCCAGCUGGGAUUCGAAGAACUCUGCUCCUGUGUGGGGCCCUUUCCCGGGACUGCUGCUGCCUCUCCUGCUGUUGGCUGGCAUAUUCUGAGGGGGACACUCAAAGGCCUGGGAGAAGAGCUCAGAUGCCCAACUGCUGUGUUCUCCUAUCCUGUCCCUCAAGCAAGAUAUCACCCCUGGCUAAAGCCCCUCUGGAAGGGAAAGGCUGUGGGCUCAUCAGUAACUGCACACCGGGGCCCUUCCUGCCCCUCACAGUGGAGUUCUACGGAGGACAUGAUUCUGAUGAUACUUGUCUGCUCCACGGGGUGGGGUGGGGCGGGUGGGCUGCUGUCUGCCUGCAGGCUCUAGGGCUCCCCAUCUCCAAGUGGUGCCCAUUGGCUUGGACAGCAGGGACUCGGGGUAGGUAAAGAACAAGCCCCAACCAAAGUGGGGUUCUGUGGGUGGGGAGGCGGGGAGCAGGGAACGAAGAGAGGCAGCUUUGACUCCUGAAUAAAGCCUGUCUGAGA
rnacentral:lncRNA from 1 species